rnacentral:rRNA from 1 species
CCUACGUGAGACAGCAGUGAGGAAUAUUGGUCAAUGGGCGAGAUCCUGAACCAGCCAAGCCGCGUGAGGGAAGACGGCCCUAUGGAUUGUAAACCUCUUUUGUCGGAGAACAAAACCCGGGACGCGUCCCGGACUGCGUGUAUCCGAAGAAAAAGCCUCGGCUAACUCCGUGCCAGCAGCCGCCGUCAUACGGAGGAUGCGAGCGUUAUUCGGAUUUAUUGGGUUUAAAGGGUGCGUAGGCGGACUGUUAAGUCAGCGGUAAAAUUGCGGGGCUCAACCCCGUCGGGCCGUUGAAACUGGGAGACUUGAGUUGGCGAGAAGUACGCGGAAUGCGCGGUGUAGCGGUGAAAUGCAUAGAUAUCGCGCAGAACUCCGAUUGCGAAGGCAGCGUACCGGCGCCAGACUGACGCUGAGGCACGAAAGCGUGGGGAUCGAACAGGAUUAGAUACCCUAGUAGUC